CAGUCGCCGCGGGAAUACGAAGGGGGCUAGCGUUGCUCGGAAUCACUGGGCAUAAAGGGUGCGUAGGCGGGUCUUUAAGUCAGGGGUGAAAUCCUGGAGCUCAACUCCAGAACUGCCUUUGAUACUGAAGAUCUUGAGUUCGGGAGAGGUGAGUGGAACUGCGAGUGUAGAGGUGAAAUUCGUAGAUAUUCGCAAGAACACCAGUGGCGAAGGCGGCUCACUGGCCCGAUACUGUCGCUGAGGCACGAAAGCGUGGGGAGCAAACAGGAUUAGAUACCCGCGUAGUCCCUGUCUCUUAUAC
rnacentral:rRNA from 1 species